UAUAAAUACGGUUUGCCAUGUGAUAUAACUUGGCAUCCCUGCUUCUUCUCUACAGUAUGCAUCAUUGUAUAUUUACCUUAUGGGAGGAUUUUGCUGAGAUUGAUGGAAGCGACCUAGCUGCACAACUUGAAGAACAUCCAAUAAUCCUAGCAAAACGAAUUGCACGGUCUUCAUAUGCUGGAACAUCCUUGACAACAAGAUACAAUUCUGUAAUAUUGAUAAAUCCAUCCUAUCCACAGGCUGCAUAAUUGAUGAACUGGGCAAAAGAGAAUGAAGAAAUGUUGAGCACAUAUACGCAAAGAAGUUCUCAAGAAACAGCUUCAUCGCCAAUUCUUAUAUCACUAAAUGAUGAGGCGAUACCUAUAGGAAAUAUCCAAGCACAACCAGCGAUGCAAUCUUUUCACGUUGAAGGUAAAAUAUCGUUGCUGGAUGAUGAGCAGCUGUUUUCAGGGGCGGAGCCAGCCCUUCGGGUGGGGUUCGGCCAAACCCAGUAGCUUUUGUCCGAACCAUAUAUUUGUAUUAAAAAUUUUGUCAAAUAUGUACAAAUUAUUAAUUAAGAACUCAGUACUUUAAAAAAUUAGAAUCCCGAACCCACAAGCUUCGAAUCCUGGCUCCGCCUCUGGCUGUUUUAUGAGUUGAUGUGUUCAAAAUGCAAGAACUUUGUUAGGACCAAAAUAAUGAAAGCUAUUGACUGUGUAAACUUUGAUCAACAAGCAAUGUUAACACCCAGGUAACCAAGCGUUCCAUAAUCCAAAUUUACUUUCUCAUAUAAUUUAUGAAUAUAAAAUAACAUGUAAUAAUAUUAUAUAACAUGUGUCGCUUUCAAGUCCAAAUUGCAUAUGGAAGUGGAUCGACAAUUGCAACAUUAGUAGGUGAACUUGGGGAGAAUCUUCUUUCAAUGAAAGCUGAACAAAUCUACGAAACAAUUAACGUGAAGAACGAAUCACUGCCCCUUCCAGAUAUUCAACAACAUCUUGCUGACAAAGUGUUUAAAGUACAACAGAAGAAAUCUUUUUCUAGGAAUUCUGAUGAAACACCAGCAAAACUGUUCAAUUUGUCAUUUGCUGAGAAGCAGGAUACUCUCCAAUUGCCAGCAGUAUCAACUUCUACAAAUACUGGAGAAAGCAGUAAGAGAGAACUCGACAAGGUAGCAUCAGAAGAAGAACAAAAAAAGAUAAUCAUUGGAAGUACCUCAUCUAGCAAAAGACAGCAGACUGAGCGAACAACUCCAACCAAAAAAACUGCAUCUUCUAACAAAAGGGAGGGUAUCGAACCAGUCACUCCAACUAAGAAGAAGUAAAGUUCAUUAUGACUGUGGCGAGGUUGUACAAAGGUCUUUUGGUGGCUUGUACAUACCAAACUUUUGAUGGCCUAGACGGUCAUAAAUCAGCAGUUGAAAUAUACAGGACUAUGCAUGCUUAUAGCUUUUACUCUUAGUUUUGUCCAC